GCCAUAGCUCAGUGGCAGAGUAUCUGCUUUGUAUGCAGAAAGCCCCAGAUUCAACCCCCAGCAUCGCCA